CGCGGGAUGGAGCAGUUGGUAGCUCGUCGGGCUCAUAACCCGAAGGUCGCAGGUUCGAGUCCUGCUCCCGCUA
rfam:Flammeovirgaceae bacterium 311, complete genome.